rnacentral:rRNA from 1 species
ACUCCUUUUUCAUUACACUUUUAGAUUUUAGAUUUGUCCUGUAUUUUCAUACUUUCUAAGACUAGCUAAUACCGCAUAUUACCUGAGGGUGAAAGUGGGGGUCCGCAAGGCUUCAUGCUAUAGGAGCUGCCGAUGUCUGAUUAGCUAGUUGGUGGGGUAAAGGCCCACCAAGGCGACGAUCAGUAGCUGGUCUGAGAGGACGAUCAGCCACACUGGGACUGAGACACGGCCCAGACUCCUACGGGAGGCAGCUUUGGGGUUUUUUUUUUUUUAUUUCU